UACGUAGGGGGCAAGCGUUGUCCGGAAUCAUUGGGCGUAAAGCGCGUGUAGGCGGCUUGGUAAGUCUGCUCUGAAAGCCCGGGGCUCAACCCCGGGAGGCGGGUGGAUACUGUCAAGCUCGAGUCCGGAAGAGGAGUGUGGAAUUCCUGGUGUAGCGGUGAAAUGCGUAGAUAUCAGGAGGAACACCGGUGGCGAAGGCGCCUAUCUGGCCCGAUACUGACGCUGAGGCGCGAAAGCUAGGGGAGCAAACGGG
rnacentral:rRNA from 1 species